rnacentral:rRNA from 1 species
UACGUAGGUGGCAAGCGUUGUCCGGAUUUACUGGGCGUAAAGGGUGUGUAGGCGGAAUUUUAAGUAGAAAGUGAAAGGUUGGAGCUCAACUCCAACACUGCUCCUAUACUGGAAUUCUUGAGUCCGGAGAGGAAGAUGGAACGACACGUGUAGCGGUGAAAUGCGUUGAUAUGUGUCGGAACACCAAUGGCGAAGGCAGUCUUCUGGACGGGUACUGACGCUGAGACGA